GGGGUUGUCUAUUACUCAUUGCGAGUAAGGGGCACACCAAGAGCGUACACGUUGGGACCCGAAAGAUGGUGAUCUAUGCCUGGCCAGGAUGAAGCCAGGGGAAACCCUGGUGGAGGUCCGCAGCGAUUCUGACGUGCAAAUCGAUCGUCUGAGCUGGGUAUAGGGGCGAUAGACUUAUCGAAUCAUCUAGUAGCUGGUUCCCUCCGAAGUUUCCCUCAGGAUAGCUGGUGCCGAUGAUGAUAAAUGAGUCUCAUCCGGUAAAGCGAAUGAUUAGAGGCCUUGGGGCCGAAACGACCUCAACCUAUUCUCAAACUUUAAAUGGAUGAGAGCUUUGGCUUGCUUAAAAAGUGAAGCCAGAGACUCGGAUCUAGGUGCCAAGUGGGCCAAUUUUGGUAA
rnacentral:rRNA from 1 species